GAGUUUGAUCAUGGCUCAGGAUGAACGCUGGCGGCGUGCUUAACACAUGCAAGUCGAACGAAGCGCCUUAUUUGAUUUUCUUCGGAACUGAAGAUUUGGUGACUGAGUGGCGGACGGGUGAGUAACGCGUGGGUAACCUGCCCUGUACAGGGGGAUAACAAUCAGAAAUGACUGCUAAUACCGCAUAAGACCACAGCACCGCAUGGUGCAGGGGUAAAAACUCCGGUGGUACAGGAUGGACCCGCGUCUGAUUAGCUGGUUGGUGAGGUAACGGCUCACCAAGGCGACGAUCAGUAGCCGGCUUGAGAGAGUGAACGGCCACAUUGGGACUGAGACACGGCCCAAACUCCUACGGGAGGCAGCAGUGGGGAAGUAUUGCACAAUGGGGGAAACCCUGAUGCAGCAACGCCGCGUGAGUGAAGAAGUAUUUCGGUAUGUAAAGCUCUAUCAGCAGGGAAGAAAGUGACGGUACCUGACUAAGAAGCCCGGCUAACUACGUGCCAGCAGCCGCGGU
rnacentral:rRNA from 1 species